rnacentral:tRNA from 3 species
GCGGACGUGGCUCAGUUGGUAGAGCAUCACCUUGCCAAGGUGAGGGUCGCGGGUUCGAGUCCCGUCGUCCGCUCGG